GAUGAACGCUGGCGGCGUGCCUAAUACAUGCCAGUCGAGCGAACGGACGAUAAUCUUGCUUUUCUGAUGUUAGCGGCGGACGUGUGAGUAACACGUGUAUAACCUACCUAUAUUACUUGUAUAACUUCGGGAAACCGGAGCUAAUACCGGAUAAUAUUUUGAACCGCAUUGUUCAAAAGUGAAAUACGGUCUUUCUUUCACUUUUCGAUGUAUCCUCGCUGCAUUAGCUAGUUGGUAAGUUAACGGCUUACCAAGGCAACGAUGCAUAGCCGACCUGAGAGGGUGAUAGGCCAAACGGGAAGAGAGACACGGAAAAGACUACUACGGGAGGAAGCAGUAGGGAAUAUUCCGCAAUGGGCGAAAGCAUGACGGAGCAACGCCGCGUGAGUGAUGAAGGUCUUAGGAUCGUAAAACUCUGUUAUGAGGGAAGAACAUAUGUGGAAGAAAAUGUGCACAUAUUGACGGUAACUAAUAAGAAAGCAACGGCUAACUACGUG
rnacentral:rRNA from 1 species